CGUCGUUGGGCCGCAGCGCACCGCGGCUCAUCCGCGCCCCGAGGGAGCCGCCCCGCCAUUACCUGGGAGGAGCGGGGAAACUCCAUCAGAGCCUGAACCUCCAGAAUUUGUGACGGAGCAGCAACACAGAAGGAUGUAGUCAACAUCUUUCAUACAAGGAUUCUGAUGAACUUUUGCUGUGAACUGUUUCCUGUGGAUAACUUGCAGGAGAAGCAGAGUCCCCCAGCGUGCCUGAUUCAUGUGUACUGCCCACAGCUGUUGUGCUGUGUAACCAGGAACCUGCUCCAGACCGUGGUGUGCAUUGGGAUAGCUUGAACGCAGCAAUUCUAGGAGGGUUAAAAAUUAAACCAGCAAUCUAAAGCAGCACUGGGUUUAAGAGACUGGCAGGGUUCAGCUGUGAAUUAAUGCAUUAGUUGCAGUUAAUAUUGCUGGAAGAGCUUGACAAAGGGAAACAUGAAGCAACUAAAAAGAAACAUCAUUAAGGUGAAUGUCAAAGUUUUUGCAUCCAACAAAGAAAAAAAAGCUGAAUACAGAAGAGAAAGCACAGGUUCCCACUGAGUGGUUAUAGAGGAAGCAAUCAUACUACUACAGAGACCUGACUAGAGAAUGAAUCUCACAACUGGCCAGUAUCUCCUCCAGGACAGGCGAGAAACCCAACCUAGCUACAGCUUGCAGCAGCACUUAGGACCAAAGAAGGAACUUCUUCAUCUGUGAGUCUGGUGUGACCUACACAACGCAGCCAUGGGCUCCUGCUGCCUUGGGAGCAGCCUUCCAAAUAAACAGCUUCAGCACACUCUCCUAGGCAAACAAUAGUUAAUUAUCAACGUUAACAAGUGAGUUUCACAUUUCUAUGUCCAAUGUACAUAACAUCUCAGUCUCCCAAGUGUCUUCUCCAGACAGGGUGUGGAUCCUCAGCCACUGGCUCUCCAGGCAGCAGGCACAGGCAGUGGUUUGCAUGGCAUGGGGCUCAGCUCCAGUUGUCCCUCUGAGGCACUGUCGCCCUUCUCUCCCUCCUUUUGGGAACGUGGAAAGAAAUGGCCACCGUUUGGAUAAUCUUUAGCAGCACCACCUGUCCCUGCUGUAGCUGCACCUUCCUACCCCUGGAUCGCACUGCGUUAUCUGUAUGCUAAGCAGAGAACUCCCCCUCUUAGGAUUUGUGUUUAUUUGGUGUUUUUUCUAAGCAAUAAUAAUGGGUCAACAGGCAGGAAUUAUUUUAGCUGGCUUUAAGAGCCUUUUUUAUGCAAUCAAGCGUCUCUGUUGAGGUGCUGCUUCAAAAGAGCAUGGGGAGAUCUCCUGACACUACCACUGCCAGUGGCCCUCCUGUGUAGCACUGGGAUCUGCAGGAGCAGGAGCAUCCAACCCCUGUUCUGGGGUUCAGUCAGACUGCCUGCAGGCAUCACACACCGGGGCAGUGGCUGUCUGUCCCCCUCAGGAGCUGGGAGAUGGUGUCACCUGCCCACAGAGCACUCAGCACUGCUCACAUUGGGCAUGGACAUUUUCAUAUCUGGGAUGAAGAAACAGAUGCCUUUUCUUGCUCUGGAGAGAUUAUUUCUUCUGUGCCACUAGCCUGAGAUUGUUUGCUUGGCUUAGCCUGUGUUUUCACCAUAUGCAACAAGCCUUAACCACUUCAUAUGAGGCUGCUAUUCAUUUGGGGCCAGUGUGAAACAUUGCUGGCUUUUCUUUUUCAUUUUUCUGGACUAUACAUGUUGCUAAUCUAUCCCCUUGUCUACACUCUUUCUUCUCUAACGUUUCAGGUCUCCUGCCUUGUGAUAUUUCAAAUCCUUGACUGCUUGAUGCUGCAGAUGGAGUAUUGGUUACCCUCCAUCAUCGGUCUGGCUGCGAGGACUUCCUGUGCUUGACAAGUUGAUUACUUCGUCAAGGUGAAUGUUCAGUUGAGUCUGUCUGGAGGACCUCUGCGUGUCUGAUGCCAGCUGUUUUCUCACCAGACACACUGUUUCAUUAGGCACAGAAUAAUAUGAGGAGAAAAGCUGGGAUUUUGAGGGGCUUUUUCCCCACUCCCUUUCUGAGGUUGAUGUUACUCCAGUUUAUCCCAAUAGAGUGUAGAUGGCUAACUCUCUAAUGCAGCCAUCUUCUAUAUGGAGAGCAACUCAUCUGAUGAAUUGCUGUUGGUCUUUACAUAUGGUUUUCCCUGUCUUUAGGAACCCCAAAAGAGGUUAGAUAGCUUGGAAGCUGUGGCAUUAACAGUGCUUUCAGAUUGUCCAUUGUGUAUCAUCAAGGAAGCACAGUAAAACCCAAAUAAGUUAAAUGAAUUUCAUUGCAGUUCCUGAGGGAGAGCAGGUUGCUUUACUUGUGAGUUGCAAGUCGGGUCAGGAGGGAUGGAUCUCCACGGAGAAAUUGCUGACACAGGCCCAGAAAUGUCAUUGGUAAGGUAAGGAAAAGCAUCCAAACUUCUCCUAAUAGUCCUUUGUGGAUACUUUAUAGGAAGUGGCAUCCAGACAACAAUAGGUAUUAUGGAAUUGGGAAAUAACAGUAAACAGCACAAAGUAAACAGCACAGAGAAAACUCAGUGUGCUUCCUGAGAAUGUAAGGAAACUGCGUCACAAUGCUGAGUGCUUCAGGAGAGAAAAUUCUCAUAACUUCCAUAGCCAAACAUCACUUGGGACCAGGGUGUGAAUGACUACUCUGUGCUACUGCUGAGAGAGUGUUGCAACUUCUUGGCAGGUUACAGAAAAUAGAAGGGUGGCCAGCAUCAUUAUCUGGUGGUACAGGAACAUUUGUUUCUCUAGCCACAUGUGGCUGUACCCUGACCAUCUUGGGUAUCCAAGCAGGGAGUUCAAAGGAAAACUCUGUAGGCUUGGCUUUCAAAGGGACCUAUUUCCACUAAGUGUGAACAUUGUUUCUAAAAGGAGAGAAAUCCUUGUUUACUCUUCUAGGAAUUCAUAUUUCUGACAUAUUGUAGCAGAAAUAAUAAACAAAAGCAUAUUACAGUUGUGAGGUGAAUCCAGGGAGCAUGGCAGCUACUGCCAGACUAGCAUCUGCAGCCAAACCAGCCCCUGGUGCAUCAUGAGCACCAUACCUAGCAGACAUGGUCCUGCUGUUGCUGUCCUCAACAAAUCCCAUAUUGACGCCUCAUUGAGAAGAAUCAGAAUCACAGAAUAUCCUGAAUUGAAAGGGGCCCACAAGGACCAUCAGCUUAACUCCUUGCUCCAGGAGGACAGGAACACGCAAAAUUCAAAUUCUAUGUUUGCUACUGUUGUCCAAACACUCCUCAAAAUCCAGCAGCUAAGGCCAUGCCCACUGCCCUGAGGAGCCUCUUCCAUACCCGCCACCCUCCGGUAAAGAACCUUUUCCUUAAACCAAGACUGACCCUCCUGUGGUGCAGCUCUAUGCUGUUAGAGAUGGAGCUUUUUCUGUGUCCCACCAUACCUGACAAGGCAAGGAUGUGUUGCAGUCCCUAUAUUAUUGAGCUAUUUCAGACCAGCUUUGUAUGAGAGCAGAAGAGCAAUAUGUAGUCACUUUUCUCCCCUUGGAAAGGUAGACGAAGGGGAGCAGGCUGCCAGACCUCCAGAGAAGCAAGGGUCUCCAUCAGGGCAUUUCCUAGCAGGAGACAAGGAGAUCGUGCAUUCUCCUGUCAUUUAUUCCCUGUUGAGUAUUUUCUUUGCUUCCUCCAGGCCCGUGGCCAGGAGGGCCAGUACUGGGAACACGUCCUGGUGCAUAGCCAGGGACGCAGCAGUGUCCUGCUGAGAGCAGUGGCCCGGGGCUGGGUACACAGCAUCCAGUCCUCCCCUGGAGACUGGUGUUUGCUGAGGGAUGCAAGGUAACCUCAGCAUUGAAAAUAGCUGGGACGGUGGCCAGCGAAGAUUAAUGGUAUCAUUAACAUCCCCAGUUUAUUUAUAGGUUUAAAAAAGUCUCCAACCUGUAAACAAAGCAGAGUUAUGCUGCGUAAUGCAGAGAAUCACAGGUUUGCCUCCUUCCCACUCCUCUUAUUUCAUCCUGGUUGUUGAGACUCUAAAACCCCUGGAGUAGGACUGGCUCAUUGCAAACUUACAUUAUAAACCUUCUCAAUGAGGGGGAUAUGCACUGUUGGUUUAUUUUCCCAUGAAUGUUAUAUUUGUCCAGUGUCCUUUCUCCACUCAGCUCCUUCUGUGCUUUGUCCUGUGGCCCCUGUUAUGGAAAAUUCUCUUCUUGAAGAAUUGCUGAGGCCCAGGUUGGGCAGUCAUCAUAGGAAUUAGUGAUUUUCUGCCUUGGGCUUCAAGCUGAAAGCUCUGCGUGAGGUGGAUUGAGCAUCUUGUAGCUGUGGAGAGCACCUAGGCGGUGCAUGGCCCCAGUGAAGCGUGCAGAUAUUAUUAAUGAGCCAGGGGUCUUCCUGCAGGCACUCAGGGCCAAUCAGUUCCCAGGUUCUUGGGACUGUCCAGAAAAGAAAAAGCAUGUUGGCUCCAGGACAGGAUUUCUCAGCACGUGAGCUGCAGCCACACCGCCUGGCCCAUCUCCAGGAGCUCAGGAGAAGGUAAGGUAGGAAGGUGGGCUGUUGGCAGCAGGCAGCAAGGAUCCGCUGCAGAGGUGUGUGGGUGGAGGAGAAAAGAAAAAUGUGAGGAGCCCUCCAGACACACAGUGCAAUGUGGUCUUUUGGAGAACAAGUGCCAUUCAUUUUACUCUUCGUGAUGUGUUAAUCUGAGUUGUACUCCCAUUGCUGUCUUCCUUUUGUCUUCUAGGGGGUAAAAUAAAGAAUUGGCAGAGAACUGCUCAAAUUGCUGCUGUCUUCUUUUCUGUGGGAAAUCAGAGUGCUUCAGGGCAGAGGAAGUGAGUCUGAAGUACUAGAAGUGACUGAAAGAGGGUUUCUCUGCCAUGCACACCACAGAUGAAAUCAUGACCCUGGAAUCCCCUCACCACCCAAACCCUGCUACCAACACUGGAUGGCACUGGGUAACUCCUGACAUUUUACAAAGUCUCUUCUAAAACUUGAAUCACAGCAACUUGGCUCCACGCUGUCCUGCCAACAAAGGGCUAUGUUUGAGAAGCUUUUGAUUGCAUGGUUGUUGCAGUAGGAACAUCUGAGUCACGUGGUGCAUUUUGUACCUUAGUUUGUUAGAUUGUUCAAGCUCGGAGCUUUCGGAACUCUGGCCCCACAGGUUUGACAAAGAUUCAUUGUGCUAUUGGGCUUUAAAGCCAAUUUUCUUGUAAUGAGGUAAAAAUGUUGAAAUACUUUGAAGUAACAUUGCUGUAUGCUGGAGAAUUAAACAUAUUUCACAGAAUGGUUGAAGAUGGAAGGCAUCUCUGGAAAGCAUCUAGCCCAAGCUCAAGCAAAGACACCCAGAGCAGAAUGUGUGGGAUCACGUCCAGUCAGGUCUGGUGCCUCCAAGGAUAGGAGCUCCACAACCUCUGAAGGGAACUUCUUCCAGCACUCAACCACCCUCAUAGUAAAAGAGUUACUCAGUUGGUGUCCACUGUCUCUUGUCCUGAGCUGGGCACUACCUAGAAGAGUCUUCUUUUCUGAAUCUCAAUAUCAAGUAGUUAAAC